AUUGAACGCUGGCGGCAGGCCUAACACAUGCAAGUCGAACGGUAACAGGAAGAAGCUUGCUUCUUUGCUGACGAGUGGCGGACGGGUGAGUAAUGUCUGGGAAACUGCCUGAUGGAGGGGGAUAACUACUGGAAACGGUAGCUAAUACCGCAUAACGUCGCAAGACCAAAGAGGGGGACCUUCGGGCCUCUUGCCAUCGGAUGUGCCCAGAUGGGAUUAGCUAGUAGGUGGGGUAACGGCUCACCUAGGCGACGAUCCCUAGCUGGUCUGAGAGGAUGACCAGCCACACUGGAACUGAGACACGGUCCAGACUCCUACGGGAGGCAGCAGUGGGGAAUAUUGCACAAUGGGCGCAAGCCUGAUGCAGCCAUGCCGCGUGUAUGAAGAAGGCCUUCGGGUUGUAAAGUACUUACAGCGGGGAGGAAGGGAGUAAAGUUAAUACCUUUGCUCAUUGACGUUACCCGCAGAAGAAGCACCGGCUAACUCCGUG
rnacentral:rRNA from 1 species